AUUGAACGCUGGCGGCAGGCCUAACACAUGCAAGUCGAACGGUAACAGGAAACAGCUUGCUGUUUCGCUGACGAGUGGCGGACGGGUGAGUAAUGUCUGGGAAACUGCCUGAUGGAGGGGGAUAACUACUGGAAACGGUAGCUAAUACCGCAUAACGUCGCAAGACCAAAGAGGGGGACCUUCGGGCCUCUCGCCAUCGGCUGUGCCCAGAUGGGAUUAGCUAGUAGGUGGGGUAAAGGCUCACCUAGGCGACGAUCCCUAGCUGGUCUGAGAGGAUGACCAGCCACACUGGAACUGAGACACGGUCCAGACUCCUACGGGAGGCAGCAGUGGGGAAUAUUGCACAAUGGGCGCAAGCCUGAUGCAGCCAUGCCGCGUGUAUGAAGAAGGCCUUCGGGUUGUAAAGUACUUUCAGCGGGGAGGAAGGGAGUAAAGUUAAUACCUUUGCUCAUUGACGUUACCCGCAGAAGAAGCACCGGCUAACUCCGUG
rnacentral:rRNA from 1 species